AAAUAGCACUUUCAGUAGUGCUCAAAGCAUGCCAUUCCAUGAGCACAGCGUUUAUUUUUCAACUCAAAUCAAUGAGACAUUUUUGUAUUCUUCUAAUGCCUCCUAAGGGGAAAGUAAACUAAAAGUAACUGAAUGUAGUCAGAUUACGUUACUGAGUUUGGGUAAUCCAAAAGUUACGUUACUGAUUACAAUUUCGCACAAAACUAUUUAGGAAAUAAGGAUUGCAUUUGGAAUAUAAUCCCUCAUUUAAUUUUCAAAACAGAUUGGUGGUCUAGAAUUCUUACUCAAAUGGAACUUUGAUGUGGGUAAGAUCCCUAUUAAACUUGCUAACUUUCAUAAACAAGUACUUCUAACUUGGAAACUCAUGUACAACAAUAAUUUCCCCCACAUAGAUAUACAAGAAGUCUAUUUUUCUAGAACAGGUUUGAUAACAGUAUUAUCUGGGUUAAAACAUUAUUGAAUAACGAUGGACAACUAUAUGAUUAUCCAGAAAUCAUGAGAACACACAAUGUUACAUUCACUCCUGGGGAGUUUUAAAUUGUUGUUAGAGCUGUCCCUAAAGGUGCUAUUCUUCUUUUAGGAGAAUAUAACAGUACUCCAAGUGCAACUGUUGAGGAUUUUGUAGCCUCAAUACAGCUAGAAGGCAUUGACAUUUUAAACUAUAAAUGUAAUAACAUGUAUGUAAGAAAACUCUAUCAAGAUGUUACUAUUCCCUCUGCUAGAAUAUACUGGAAUACAGCCCUAUGACAAGUAAACUGGAACAAAGUAUCGUUGUUGUCUGGCAAAUAUUGCAUAUCUAAUAAGAUGAAAGAAGUAUCAUACAAACUCAUUCAUAGAAUCUAACCUGUAAAGACCUUUAUUAUACACAGAUUCAAAAUAGCUAUCGAUAACAAAUGCGUAUUUUGUGGUUGUGACCCAGAGACUCGACCAUUUAUGUUGGGACUGUUCUUAUGUCAGAAGAUUUUGGAGUGAGAAGAUAGUAUUUUAAAAGAAACGACUAUUAAUGUUAAUUUGAAAGACUGAUAUGAUAUUUUAUUUCGAUGUUUUAUUUAGAUUCAAAUGAUAUGGACGAUUUAACUUUCAUUGUUCAUUUGUUUAGUUUUCAUGGCAGAUUCUUUAUCCAUAAAAUAAAGUAGGCAGAGAAGAUAAUUUAAAUAUUACUUUGAAAUGAUCUUUAAGUGUAAAAAAAAUAGAAAAUAAACAAGAAUAAGCUAACUGACUUACGUUGGCUACCUUGCUAGCUACUUCCAGACACAAAUGAGAGAACAGCUCACUGACCGUUUUACUUGCCCUAGCAGAGCUGGUUAGGCUGUGUUUAUGUCAUCCAGGGCAACAAUUUACGCUUUUUUCCAACGUUUACGGACACCGCCCGUAGGUUGUUGAGCGUAAAUUCGUCAGAUAUUCUGCGCUCUCGGACACACAGACGAGAGUGCUCUGAAAUCGGAGUAGAUAGCUAGAGCGAAUUUACCAGACUGAAGGAAUACCUGGAAAGGAAGGCCAGAAUUGGCCAAGCCACCCUGUAAGCAGACCAGUCCCUCACUGAAGCUGAGAGCAUAAGCGGCGCAAACAAAAAGGGAGGCUUCUGAGCGGGAGUCAAGCCAUGGAGGAGUAGCUGGUAGUCCAGGAGAAGUUGAGAGUGGACCAACAGAGGACUUAUGAGGAGAAUAUGAACCAGCUGAUGGAGAGGAAGGACAGAGAAGGUAGAAAUGCCAUAGCAUAGCAUGACAGAGUUCUGCAGGCCAGACUCAAGGAGCAGAAUGACCCUUUCCAGCAAGGGUUUGAUGACAGAGCACAAAUGCAAAGAGAGAUAGAUGCUCUUAAGGAAGCAAAUGCACAAGAGGAAGAGAAUAGGCCUUCAUUUAUGAGCAAGGCUCUGGAUGGCGCUAUGUUGGUUCUCCAGGGAAUAAUUCCCAAAGUAGGAGGAAUGGCCUUAAAUUGGCUGUCAAAGUUGUUCUGAUGAAGGUUCUUGAGAUUGAUUUAAUCAACAUUUAUUGAAGUUAAUGAUUGACUUACUUUAAAUUAAGCACUACAUUUAAGGUUUAAUUUCAUGUUAGCUUAAAGAACCCCCCCACAAAAAAAUAUAUACACCUAUGUUUUAUAAGUAAUUUGCAUGAAAAAUCAUGACACAAAUCAAGCUUUUAGAAGGCAUGCUGAAAAUAUAAGAUUGAAAUAUUUAUUGGUGCCUUUUAUUAUUUACUUGAAGUUGAUUAACUGUUUUUAAUGCACCGGACAUUCUACACUAGAGUGUGUACAGUGGUAUGUUAAUAAAAAGUGUAAUAAUAGCCUUGGCUUUAUUUGUGCUCUUAAUGAAACACAUUUCUGCUCACAGGUCCUGGUUUGAUUAACAAAGAUAAAAUAAUUUUAAAGAAAGUAUGUCAAAGUACUAAACUGUGUAAAACAAGACAAACAACAUGUAGCUUUAAGAACAGUAUCUCAACGAUUCUCUGGACAAGUCAAAUAUAAAGACUGACUGUUUGUUCUGGUUGUACAGUAAACUAAUAAUAACAGAAUACAAAACAGUAAUGACACUAUUACUGCUGACAACAGCCAGAAGCACCUUUAGCCCUUGUUAAACCCUGAUGAAAACCUUUGUGUAUAUGACCAAUAAAAUUUGAUUUUG